rnacentral:rRNA from 1 species
GAUGAACGCUGGCGGCGUGCUUAACACAUGCAAGUCGAACGGAAAGGCCCCUUCUUUCAGGUGUACUCGAUUGGCGAACGGGUGAGUAACACGCGGGGGAUCUGCGCUGCACUUCGGGAUAAGCCUUGGAAACUGGGUCUAAUACCGGAUAUGACUAUGGUUUGCAUGCCAUUGUGGAAAGUUUUGCGGUGUGGGAUGAGGUCGCGGCCUAUCAGCUUGUUGCUUGGGUAAUGUCCUACCAAGGCGUCGACGGGUAGCCGUCCUGAGAGGGUGUACGGCGACAUUGGGCCUGAGAUACGGACCAGAAGCCUACGGGAGGCAGCAGUGGGGAGUAUUGCAGAAUGGCGGCAAGCCUGAUGAAGAGACGCCGCGUGCGGGAUAAUGGCCUUCGGGUUAUAAACACCUGUCGCUAGGGAUGAAGGGGAAGUGACGGUACCUGGAGAAGAAGCACCGGCUAACUACGUG